rnacentral:rRNA from 1 species
CGGCAAGAGCUCAAAUUUGAAAGCUGGCUCCUUCGGGGUCCGCAUUGUAAUUUGCAGAGGAUGCUUCGGGAGUGGCCCCCAUCUAAGUGCCCUGGAACGGGCCGUCAUAGAGGGUGAGAAU